rnacentral:rRNA from 1 species
UUCCGGUUGAUCCCGCCGGAGGCUACCGCUAUUGGAGUUCGAUUAAGCCAUGCGAGUCGCGAGUCUUAGGGACUCGGCGUACCGCUCAGUAACACGUGGGUAACCUGCCCUAUGCUGGGAGAUAACCUCGGGAAACUGAGAAUAAUACCCCAUAGUUCACUACGCCUGGAACGGUGAGUGGAUGAAAGCUCCGGCGGCAUAGGAUGGGCCUGCGGCGUAUCAGGUUGUAGGGGGUGUAACGUACCCUCUAGCCCUCUACGCGUACGGGUGUUGGGAGACAUCGCCCGGAGAUGGAUUCUGAGACACGAAUCCAGACCCUACGGGGUGCAGCAGGCGCGAAAACUUGGCAAUGCGAGAAAUCGUGACCAGGGAACUCCAAGUGCAUCGGGUAAGACCGAUGCUUUUCUUGACUCUUCAAAGGUCUUGGAAUAAGGGGUGGGUAAGGACGGUGCCAGCCGCCGCGGUAAUACCGGCGCCCCAAGUGGUAGUCGCUUUUAUUGGGCCUAAAACGUCCGUAGCCGGUCUGGUACAUUCGUGGGUAAAUCAACCAGCUCAACUGGUUGAAUUCUGCGAGCACGGCCAGACUUGGGACCGGGAGAGGUGUGGGGUACUCUCAGGGUAGGGGUAAAAUCCUGUCAUCCUGAGAGGACCACCUGUUGCGAAGGCGCCACACUAGAACGGAUCCGACGGUCAGGGACGAAGCCUAGGGGCACGAACCGGAUUAGAUACCCGGGUAGUCCUAGGUGUAAACGCUGUGGACUUGAUGUUGGGGGCGCUCCGAGCGCACUCAGUGUCGAAGCGAAGGUGAUAAGUCCACUGCCUGGGGAGUACGGUCGCAAGGCUGAAACUUAAAGGAAUUGGCGGGGGAGCACCGCAACCUGAGGAUUGUGCGGUUUAAUUGGAGUCAACGCCGGA